ACAACACUCCCUUCGUCCGGAAAUACUUAUCAUCAAAAUAAAUAAAAGGGGAUGUAUCUAGAUGUAUUUUAGUUCUAAAUACAUUCUUUUUUGUCCAUUUUGAUGACAAGUAUUUUCGGACGGAGGGGGUACUAC
rfam:Triticum aestivum genome assembly, contig: Triticum_aestivum_CS42_TGACv1_scaffold_030473_1BL